rnacentral:rRNA from 1 species
CUAAGAAUCUUCCGCAAUGGGCGAAAGCCUGACGGAGCGACGCCGCGUGGGUGAGGAAGGCCUAACGGUUGUAAAACCCUUUUCUGCGUGAGGAAUAAUUGUUGGAGGGAAUGCCAGCAAGAUGACGGUAGCGCAGGAAUAAGCCCCGGCUAAUUACGUGCCAGCAGCCGCGGUAACACGUAUGGGGCGAGCGUUGUUCGGAAUCAUUGGGCGUAAAGGGCGUGUAGGCGGUUACGAAAGCCUGGUGUGAAAGACUGCAGCUCAACUGCAGGAGCGCGCUGGGAACUGCGUGACUUGAGUUCUGGAGGGGGAGUUAGAAUUCCAGGUGUAGGGGUGAAAUCUGUAGAUAUCUGGAAGAAUACCGGUGGCGAAGGCGAACUCCUGGCCAAGAACUGACGCUGAGGCGCGAAAGCGUGGGGAGCGAACA